rnacentral:rRNA from 1 species
AUACGGAGGAUCCGAGCGUUAUCCGGAUUUAUUGGGUUUAAAGGGUGCGCAGGCGGCCAUUUAAGUCAGCGGUUAAAUCGUGGGGCUCAACCCCAUUCUGCCGUUGAUACUGGGUGGCUUGAUUGCGGUCGAGGUUGGCGGAAUUCGUUGUGUAGCGGUGAAAUGCAUAGAUAUGACGAAGAACACCGAUUGCGUAGGCAGCUGACCAGAUCGCAAAUGACGCUCAUGCACGAAAGUGCGGGGAUCGAACAGGAUUAGAUACCCUGGUAGUCCGCACAGUAAACGAUGAAUACGUGUUUUCGGCGAUAUAAUGUCGGAGGCAAAGCGAAAGCGAUAAGUAUUCCACCUGGGGAGUACGCCGGCAACGGUGAAACUCAAAGGAAUUGACGGGG